rnacentral:rRNA from 1 species
GAUUUCCCUAGUAACGGCGAGUGAAGAGGAAAGAGCUCAAAGUUGGAAUCUGUUUGGCUUAGCUAAACCGAGUUGUAAACUGUAGAGGCAUUUUCCAGGUACACUAGACAAAAAAGUCCUUUGGAACAGGGCAUCAUAGAGGGUGAGAAUCCCGUCUUUGGUCUAAGUAGUUGCCUAUUGUGAUAUGUCUUCAAAGAGUCAGGUUGUUUGGGAAUGCAGCCUAAAUUGGGUGGUAAAUCUCACCUAAAGCUAAAUAUCUGCGAGAGACCGAUAGCGAACAAGUACCGUGAGGGAAAGAUGAAAAGAACUUUGAAAAGAGAGUUAAACAGUAUGUGAAAUUGUUAAAAGGGAACCGUUUGGAGCCAG